UACGUAGGGUGCAAGCGUUGUCCGGAAUUAUUGGGCGUAAAGAGCUCGUAGGCGGUCUGUCGCGUCUGCUGUGAAAACUCGGGGCUUAACCCCGGGCCUGCAGUGGGUACGGGCAGACUAGAGUGCGGUAGGGGAGACUGGAAUUCCUGGUGUAGCGGUGAAAUGCGCAGAUAUCAGGAGGAACACCGGUGGCGGAAGGCGGGUCUCUGGGCCGUAACUGACGCUGGAGGAGCGAAAGCAUGGGGAGCGAACAGG
rnacentral:rRNA from 1 species